rnacentral:rRNA from 1 species
AAAGGCCCCACCAAGGCGACGAUCAGUAGCCGGCCUGGAGAGGGUGGAACGGGCCACCAUUGGGACUGAGACACGGCCCAAACUCCUACGGGAGGCAGCAG